UCAAGGGACCCUUUGCGUCGGCAAGGAGGUCUCUGUCCCCCGGAAGUACCGGGGCAGAGCAAUUACGAAAACAGUCCAACCUUAAAGGCUUCUUUCUUUUCUUUUCAUAUUUUUGCUUUUAAUCGGAAAUAAGAAAUUUUUAUUUGGUUUCGUUUCAAGAGUGAUACAGUUUUGUGAUAUUUUCAAGAGAAUGGAAAUAUCUUCAGGCGCUAUUGGUUCCUGCUCGAAAGACCAAAAAACCAUGUAUCAAGAGUGGUUUCAUUAUGCCGAUUCAGAUGGUGAUGGUCGAAUUACUGGUAAUGAUGCUACCAAAUUCUUUUCAUUGUCUAAAUUAUCUCGCCAGGAUCUCAAGCCGGUAUGGGCCAUUGCAGAUUCAAAGCGACAGGGAUAUCUUGGCUUCAUCGAGUUCAUCAUUGCUAUGCAGUUAGUUUCUCUGGCGCAAUCUGGGCGUGAAAUAACAAAUGAUAUCCUCAAUAGCGAUGUUGACUUUCAAAGUCUUAAACCUCCGUCCAUGGAAGGUUUGGAUGCGUUAAUGGCGAAGAAAAGGCGUUCUUUGAAAUCAAAUGAUAAUGAAGCAAAUGGUACUCCGACAGUGCAAUCAACACCUUCGGCAAAUUGGUUUUCUUCAAAACCAUCAAGAAAGGCAUCACUGUCCUCUGUUACAUCAAUAAUUGACGGCUUGAAGAGACUGUACAUUCAGAAGCUGAAGCCAUUAGAAGUUACUUAUCGUUUUAAUGAUUUUGUAUCUCCAGCCUUGACAAAUAGUGAUUUUGAUGCCAAACCUAUGGUUAUGCUUUUGGGUCAAUACUCAACUGGAAAAACUACAUUCAUUAAGCAUUUACUUAGAAGCAGUUAUCCAGGAGCUCAUAUUGGACCUGAGCCUACAACGGACAGAUUUGUUGUUGUAAUGUCUGGAACUGAUGAAAGAAGUGUUCCAGGCAACACAAUUGCAGUUCAAGCUGAUAUGCCAUUCAGUGGACUCACAACUUUUGGAACUGCAUUUUUGUCAAAAUUUGAAUGUUCUCAAAUGCCACAUCCUCUGCUGGAGCAUAUUACAUUUGUGGACACACCUGGAGUUUUAUCAGGAGAAAAACAACGGACACAACGAGCUUAUGAUUUUACAGGUGUAACAUCAUGGUUUGCUGCAAAAUGUGACCUCAUUCUCCUUCUGUUUGAUCCUCACAAACUUGAUGUCAGUGAUGAGUUCAAGCGUGUUAUUUCAUCUUUACACGGUCAUGAUGACAAAAUUCGUGUUGUUCUCAACAAGGCAGAUCAAGUGGAUACUCAGCAACUUAUGAGAGUCUAUGGAGCUUUAAUGUGGUCACUUGGGAAAGUUCUCAAUACUCCAGAAGUUAUGCGUGUCUAUAUUGGCUCAUUCAAUGACAAACCAGUAAAUGAAGCUGCUGUUGGUCCAAUUGGGAAAGAACUUUUCGAGAAAGAACAGGAGGACCUUCUUUCUGAUCUAAAAAAUAUACCAAAAAAGGCUUGUGAUCGUCGGAUAAAUGAAUUCGUUAAACGUGCUAGAGCUGCCAAGAUACAUGCUUACAUUAUUAGCCAUCUUAAAAAGGAGAUGCCCGCAAUGAUGGGCAAAGCAAAGGCUCAACAGAGACUUCUUGAUAAUUUGGCAGAGGAGUUUGGAAAGGUCCAAAGGGAGUUCCAUUUACCUCCAGGUGAUUUCCCAAACGUGGAGCAAUUCAGGGAGGUUCUGAGUGGUUACAACUUCGACAAGUUUGAGAAAUUAAAGCCUAAAAUGAUACAAGCUGUGGAUGACAUGCUAGGUUAUGACAUCCCAGACCUGUUAAAAAACUUCAGAAACCCAUACGAUUAAAGCAGUCAUAGGAAUCCCAUUUGGAUAGAGGGUGUGAGCUUCUCUGUCUGGAUAACGUACAAAUUCAAGCAAUUCAUGGCCAUUGACUUCUGCAUCUCUAAGGUCUACAAUAUUGUUGUGAACAAAAAGAUAGCCAAUCUUUAAAAGUAAAUGGAUCUUUCCAAUUUCCUCAGUUUUGGGUGUGAUUUGUGAUUGCUGCUACUGGGCAUGAAAGACUAAGUGACAUCUUUUGGGUUUCUUCGACUACCUUGCAAUUUAUUAGGUUUGUGUUGAUAAAAAAAUUAUGAAAUUAGAGUGUUUGAUGAAAUUCCAAGUUGUAGUUCCUUUUUAAUUUUUAGUAAAGUUGUAAUAUUAAUAUUGCAAUGAGUUUUUAGUUAUUAAAUAGAAAUUAUUGUCAGUAAUUUAAAUUAAUCAUGUAUUUUUUUAUGACU